rnacentral:rRNA from 1 species
GUGGGGAAUAUUGCGCAAUGGAGGCAACUCUGACGCAGCCAUGCCGCGUGCAGGAAGAAGGCGCUACGCGUUGUAAACUGCUUUUAACCGGGAAGAAACCCCAGGACGUGUCCUGGGUUGACGGUACCGGAGGAAUAAGCACCGGCUAACUUCGUGCCAGCAGCCGCGGUAAUACGAAGGGUGCAAGCGUUAUCCGGAUUCAUUGGGUUUAAAGGGUGCGUAGGCGGAGCGUUAAGUCAGUGGUGAAAUCCUGCAGCUUAACUGUAGACUUGCCAUUGAUACUGGCGCUCUUGAGUGCGCUUGAAGUGGGCGGAAUGUGCCGUGUAGCGGUGAAAUGCUUAGAUAUGGCACAGAACACCAAUUGCGAAGGCAGCUCACUAAGGCGAUACUGACGCUGAGGCACGAAAGCGUGGGGAUCGAACAGGAUUAGAUACCCUUGUAGUCC